ensembl:snRNA U6 U6 spliceosomal RNA
GUGCUCGCUUUGGCAGCACAUAUAUUAAAAUUGGAACGAUACAGAGAAGAUUAGCAUGGCCCCUGCACAAGGAUGACAUGCAAAUUCAUGCAGCGUUCCAUAUUUUU